UCUGACCCAUAUCUGCAUUUUAUUGAACAAAUGAAUUUGGCUACUAAAGACUCCGUGAUUUCAGACUGAGGUCCGCCUCCAAGGGUCUGAUCUGUGUCAGCUAAAACCAGAGCUGGUGGUGACCAACUACAUCGAUGAACUCGAUCCCUCCUUCCCUCCCUUUCUCCAUCCUUCGGAGAUCUAAUGGCAGUUCCAGCUGUGAGACGUGGCACCCUUGAGCUUCCUUGUUACAAGCUUGGAGAGAUAGCAUCAGGGUGCCAAGCAGGAUCCUGGGAUGACAUCUUAGAUAUUCCUUCACCAAGAAUAGAUAACAGAGCAGGAACCAAAAAUUUCCUGGUGCCUCACUCCAAGUUGCAAUAUCAGCUCUUGUCAUAAAAAUAGGCUCUUCCAGGGCCCUGAUGGGCUCUGUCUCAUCAGAUGCCAUGUAGAAAAGAAAAGCCCAGCAGCUACAGGACCAAGAGCUGAGUCAUUCUCCAAGACAGAGCAAGCGAAGAAUGCUCCUGCCUGUGGAUGGGACCACACCCCUCUGCUCAUGUCAGCAAGCCCAUAGCUGCAGGACUGCUGGUAACCAUGGGAUGUUCAGAAGUCAUUUGCAACUAAGUCAGAGAGGGAGGGAAUGGAGACUCAUGCUUAUGAGCAGCUUGUGUCAUGCAGGGGGUUGUCAUGUUCCCAGUAAACACACAACAAGGAAACUAUACCCUAAAGCCAUACUCUUUCCUUGCCAAAAAGC
rnacentral:lncRNA from 1 species